AACAGGAUUAGAUACCCUGGUAGUCCACGCCGUAAACGAUGUCGACUUGGAGGUUGUGCCCUUGAGGCGUGGCUUCCGGAGCUAACGCGUUAAGUCGACCGCCUGGGGAGUACGGCCGCAAGGUUAAAACUCAAAUGAAUUGACGGGGGCCCGCACAAGCGGUGGAGCAUGUGGUUUAAUUCGAUGCAACGCGAAGAACCUUACCUACUCUUGACAUCCAGAGAACUUUCCAGAGAUGGAUUGGUGCCUUCGGGAACUCUGAGACAGGUGCUGCAUGGCUGUCGUCAGCUCGUGUUGUGAAAUGUUGGGUUAAGUCCCGCAACGAGCGCAACCCUUAUCCUUUGUUGCCAGCGGUCCGGCCGGGAACUCAAAGGAGACUGCCAGUGAUAAACCGGAGGAAGGUGGGGAUGACGUCAAGUCAUCAUGGCCCUUACGAGUAGGGCUACACACGUGCUACAAUGGCGCAUACAAAGAGAAGCGACCUCGCGAGAGCAAGCGGACCUCAUAAAGUGCGUCGUAGUCCGGAUUGGAGUCUGCAACUCGACUCCAUGAAGUCGGAAUCGCUAGUAAUCGUAGAUCAGAAUGCUACGGUGAAUACGUUCCCGGGCCUUAUACACACCGCCCGUCACACCAUGGGAGUGGGUUGCAAAAGAAGUAGGUAGCUUAACCUUCGGGAGGGCGCUUGCCACUUUGUGAUUCAUGACUGGGGUGAAGUCGUAACAAGGUAACC
rnacentral:rRNA from 1 species